UCCGACUCCCUCUCAUGAGAAUUUACCCUUCGAUAUGAGACUGACUGAUUGAUUUAAGAUAACUGAGCGAUUAUUAACUAACUGAUCACUAGUGAAUAAUUGUAUAAUUAUUAACCAUACCUAGGGAAUCCCGAGACCCUGGGCGAACGGAAUUUCCCGAGACCCUGGUCUGGUUGAUGGUAGGCGCUGGCAUCCCGGUGCCUGGAGCCCCGACUGAAGUCUGUUGAUGGUAGGCGGCCGGGGGCACUAGCAUCCUGGUGCACGGUGUCCCGGCUGGAGCCGGUUGCUGAAAUCACUGCUGUGGUUCCUAGAGGUGUAUGACUGGAGGUGAUGGCAUCUCCGUGCCGGGAGCCCCUAUUGGGACUGGCUGCUGUAUAAUUUUUUCGACAUGGGACCUUGCUGAAGUGGGGUAACGCUGUGAUCAGCUGUUCUUGUGAGGUGAAUUCUCGGGUGAAAUGUUCCCGAUUGUUGAGAUUAAGCGGACCACGGAAGAGAUGGAGUUAAGCUGGACUCACCGACUUCCUGGCCGGCUUUAUAAUUGUGGAAAACGGAGUCUCAGCAUGGAGACGGAAGAGAAGAGUUCGUCUUCUGGUGCAGGGUCUGCUGCCUUGGACAUUGAAAAUGACUGUCGUGAGUUCAUCAGAAUAAUUCAUUGUCUGUUGGCGAUUUACCGACACUUCUCGAAGAGGAAAAGGACAACCAAUUUCAACCUGGGGAAUGUGGAACGCCAUCUUCACCAGAAAUGGAUCACAGGAGCCCACUGACAUGGCAUUCUCAGCUCAGCUCUAAGGUCAAGUUUAGGAGUACAAUAAUUAAUAGUUUGCCAGUGACACAUGGACUGAUGAUAAAGGUGUUUAUUCCAAGCAGGAACUGACUGGGACAAAAAUUCUACCCUGGCACUGUAGCCAAACCAGCCCACAUUACAACGCCCACGCAUCCCCACCCAUGAAAACAUGCAUUCAUUACUUAAAUUUGUAUUCAGUUGGUGAAAUAACAGCACCAUAUGUAACGCAUUUAAGUAUUUAAUGCAUACAACUGGCAAACAAUGCUUAGGCUACUACUAUUUAAAGAGAACAUGUUUAUUACAAAUUUACACAAAGUGAAGUCUACUACUGUAGAGUUAAUUACAAACCCCAAAUACAUGUGUGUGUCACUGUUUUCUCCCUACCUCUACCACACUCCUCCCUGUCUCUGCUAGGCCUACAGUAGCAUCCGUCCUCACUGCACUGGUACCGGAAGACCAGUGGUCUCUGGCUGUACUGAUUCCAGCAACAUCCUAAUUAAUGAACUCAGUAUAGCAUGUACACAUUGCAGCAAAAUGUUUUCUCACUGACUGGUCUAAACCUUGGAGUACAGAUGAAUAAACAAGUAAUAACAACAGCACAAAAGGCAAUAGAAUAUAUAUACACCUAGCAAAAACUGUAAGUAUUAGCAGCAGUAAUCGUGUGUGAU